rnacentral:rRNA from 1 species
GACGAACGCUGGCGGCGUGCUUAACACAUGCAAGUCGAACGGAGCUUCAUGGAUAGAGACUUCGGUUUUAACUUUAGUGGCGAACGGGUGAGUAACGCGUGAGAAACCUGCCUUUCAGUGGGGGACAACAGUUGGAAACGACUGCUAAUACCGCAUAAUGUUGCGAGAGGGCAUCCUCUUGCAACCAAAGCUUUAUGUGCUGAAAGAUGGUCUCGCGUCUGAUUAGCUAGUUGGUGAGGUAACGGCUCACCAAGGCGACGAUCAGUAGCCGGUCUGAGAGGAUGAACGGCCACAUUGGGACUGAGAUACGGCCCAGACUCCUACGGGAGGCAGCAGUGGGGAAUAUUGGGCAAUGGGGGAAACCCUGACCCAGCAACGCCGCGUGAAGGAAGAAGGCCUUCGGGUUGUAAACUUCUUUUACCAGGGACGAAGAACGUGACGGUACCUGGAGAAAAAGCAACGGCUAACUACGUG